rnacentral:rRNA from 2 species
CAACGCCGCGUGCGGGAUGACGGCCUUCGGGUUGUAAACCGCUUUCAGCAGGGACGAAGGGUCACCUUGACGGUACCUGCAGAAGAAGCACCGGCUAACUACGUGCCAGCAGCCGCGGUGAUACGUAGGGUGCGAGCGUUGUCCGGAAUUAUUGGGCGUAAAGAGCUUGUAGGCGGUCUGUUGCGUCGGAAGUGAAAACUCAGGGCUUAACCCUGAGCCUGCUUUCGAUACGGGCAGACUUGAGGGAUGUAGGGGAGAACGGAAUUCCUGGUGGAGCGGUGGAAUGCGCAGAUAUCAGGAGGAACACCAGUGGCGAAGGCGGUUCUCUGGACAUUUCCUGACGCUGAGAAGCGAAAGCGUGGGGAGCAAACAGGCUUAGAUACCCUGGUAGUCCACGCCGUAAACGGUGGGCACUAGGUGUGGGUUCCAUUCCACGGAAUCCGUGCCGAAGCUAACGCAUUAAGUGCCCCGCCUGGGGAGUACGGCCGCAAGGCUAAAACUCAAAGGAAUUGACGGGGGCCCGCACAAGCGGCGGAGCAUGCGGAUUAAUUCGAUGCAACGCGAAGAACCUUACCUGGGUUUGACAUAUGCCGGAAACACCUAGAGAUAGGUGCCCCGCA